rnacentral:rRNA from 1 species
AGAGUUUGAUCAUGGCUCAGAACGAACGCUGGCGGCGUACUUAACACAUGCAAGUCGGACGAGAAAUUCCGAUUCGUCGGGAGAGUAAGGUGGCGAACGGGUGAGUAACACGAGGGUAAUCUACCCUUAAAUUAGGGAUAACCUUGCGAAAGCGAAGCUAAUACCUGAUAAGACUACGAUCUCCAAGGGGAUAGUAGGAAAAGAUGGCCUCUGUUUCAUGCUAUUGUUUAAGGAUGAGCCCUUGCACUAUUAGCUUGUUGGUGGGGUAACGGCCCACCAAGGCUACGAUGGUUAGCUGGUCUGAGAGGAUGAUCAGCCACACUGGAACUGAGACACGGUCCAGACUCCUACGGGAGGCAGCAGUGAGGAAUAUUGCGCAAUGGGGGAAACCCUGACGCAGUGACGCCGCGUGAGCGAUGAAGGCUUUCGAGUCGUAAAGCUCUGUUAGGUGGAAAGAAACAUUCCAGUGCCAAUACCACUGGAAUUUGACGGUACCACCAGAGGAAGCACCGGCUAACUCCGUGCCAGCAGCCGCGGUAAUACGGAGGGUGCAAGCGUUGUUCGGAUUUACUGGGCGUAAAGGGCGUGUAGGCGGCUAAGCAAGUCAGGUGUGAAAUCCCUUGGCUCAACCAAGGAAGUGCAUUUGAAACUGCAUAGCUAGAGUACAGGAGGGGAAAGUGGAAUUCCCAGUGUAGAGGUGAAAUUCAUAGAUAUUGGGAGGAACACCAGUAGCGAAGGC